CUGAUCAGCCAUGCCGCGUGUGUGAAGAAGGCCUUUUGGUUGUAAAGCACUUUAAGCGAGGAGGAGGAGCUCUUGGUUAAUACCCAAGAUGCUUGGACGUUACUCGCAGAAUAAGCACCGGCUAACUCUGUGCCAGCAGCCGCGGUAAUACAGAGGGUGCAAGCGUUAAUCGGAUUUACUGGGCGUAAAGCGCGCGUAGGUGGCCAAUUAAGUCAAAUGUGAAAUCCCCGAGCUUAACUUGGGAAUUGCAUUCGAUACUGGUUGGCUAGAGUAUGGGAGAGGAUGGUAGAAUUCCAGGUGUAGCGGUGAAAUGCGUAGAGAUCUGGAGGAAUACCGAUGGCGAAGGCAGCCAUCUGGCCUAAUACUGACACUGAGGUGCGAAAGCAUGGGGAGCAAACAGGAUUAGAUACCCUGGUAGUCCAUGCCGUAAACGAUGUCUACUAGCCGUUGGGGCCUUUGAGGCUUUAGUGGCGCAGCUAACGCGAUAAGUAGACCGCCUGGGGAGUACGGUCGCAAGACUAAA
rnacentral:rRNA from 1 species